GCGGGCGGGCCGCGGGGACUGCGGCGGCGCGGCCGUUGGGGGGCCGUUAGGGGGCCGUUGGGGGCGCGCGGAGCGUUGGGCGGGCGGCAGCGUCGGCGCUGACCCCUUCCCCGCCGGACGGCGAGAGAGGAAAAGGAGUGGGGGUGGGUUUCCCCCUUUUUUCCCCCUCCCUCCCCCCAGGAGCAGAUUUUUCUGGCCAUGUGGGUUUGAGAGGUCUGGUUUGGGGGCGUGCAGAGCAUCCGCUGAAAAUUCACGGGAGCUGAGGAGGGCGCGGAUUUGUUUGCAGCUCUGAAGGACAGAAGCUGGAUGCUUUGGCAGCGUUCCCUUUGAAUGUGGAAGAAGUCAGUGAUCCAAACAAAAUCCUCAAGAAAAAUAGAAAGAAGGAUACAAACAGAGAAAUGUGUGGUAACCUGUGGUUAACUCACUUCCUCAGAGUGUGGGAACACUGAGCUUUGAUCUGUGCUUUAUCUGACACUGAGUAGAACUUGAGUCUGCCUCUGCUUUCCAGAUUUGUAGACAAAGGCCUGUUUGGGACCUAACAGCAGGUUAAAAUGGACUUGAAAUCCCUUCACAUGAUAAGCAUCAACAGGACUAUAUGACUGCCAUGCAAAAUGAGCAUGAGGCAUUGCUGGAGGUGAAACAUAAGAGAACAACCUUGACAAACUUUGGAACAAAGUAAAAGUUAUUAUGUUCAAAACUGCCAACACACACAUUCCAUUAAGUCACAUUGGACCAUGCCAUGGUUAAAUGAGAACGUGCUGGUGCUGGCAGAAAACAGCAAAGAAACAAAAGGAGAGUGGUUUGGAAACUGAAGAACAUAGAGGAGUUUCAAAGAACAGAGAACACAGACCCAAAGACAGACUAGACAAGAGAACAGAAAAUACAUUAAGGGAAAGGGCAUAGAUCUUCAGAGUCCUAAAGCAAGUAAUUACACAAAAGCUACAGUGGUCUGAUUUCUUAUGAAACAGUCUGCCCAUAACUGAACAUUUUCAAAAUACUUCAGGAGCAUUUUGGAGAUUUCUAUUGGAGAUUUGGAGAUACUGCAGAGAUGUUGUUUUGACUGUCUCCACAGAAGUAGUCGUAAUAUAGGAGGUCAGAAAAGAAAGUAUGGAUCUGAAGGCCGGACACACAUUUCUUGAAGGAGGAAGGAAGUAUGGGGGUUGCAACCCUGCUGGUAGCAUUGCCUGAUGCGGAAUGCACACUGCUGGUUACAUGACCUGCUUGUGGCUGCUCAGUGCCCAUCAAGAGCACAGCUGGAUCCAGCCUUGUGAGCCAGCAACUUGACAGGAGAAGUGCUAUAUUCUGUCCUGAAAAGGAAGCCUGGGAAAGCACCAGGCAUAGAGAACACACCCGGAAGAUUGUUGUUAAAAGCUAUUGGCCGACAAAAUACUGAUCUCUUCUGGUCCUCUAUAGAUAGCUGUGUAGGUUUAUGGAAAUUGGCUAACUAGCUGGAUGAAAGGAAUUGCUCUCUGUGAGAAGACAGAACAGAAGAGCAGAAGAGUUGAAUAACUCUAUGAUUUCCCUGAUACUGCAUGUAAAUAAUUUCUAUUCAGGAGAGCGAACUGCAUGCAGGAUGUAGUGAGGUGAACAGUGGAACCCAGACUGUCAUCACUACAGAUGAUCAAGUGCAGGCUGUGAAAUCACAAAUGUUCACUGUGUCAUUGAAAAGUGCAGGAAGUUCUUUUGGUGGGAAGUUUUGCUAACAGCUCUGAAGUAAUCUGUGUUCAGUGUUGUCUGUGGAGAACACUGGCAGACACAAUUUCAAAGCAUGUAUCUCACUGAACUCAUUGCAAGCCUUCACUAUCAGCAGCUGGCUGUAGUUUGUACAACAGCUGGUAAUAGUGAGGGGGUAAGUUAUGAAAUUAAGAUUUAUGCUUCCUCCAGGCCUUUCCAACAUACACUCAGAGUUUAAUUUGGAAGAAGACAUGGAAGAAUUUGACAAAGUUGAGGAACCAAGCACUUUGUGACUCUUCUUUCUUAACCUAAGUUAUACCAAUGGCAUAGUAUUCUUUUGGUCAGUCACUGGUACAGUGCAACAAAUAUUGGAGUCAAUAAAAACAUAUCAAGGAAACAUCACUGAAUGUGGCAAAAACAAAGUUAAAAUGAAUUAUUCUAAAUGAAAAUAGAAGGUGAGUAACGAAUCGCUAUUAAUAGCAGAUUCAGCUAGUCUGGAAUCACAUAUAACCAGCCAAAGAGGACAUUCCAAAGAAACUGGGAAAAACUCAGAACAGCGUGUUCAACUAGUUUCUGUUACAAAAAUUAGAAUUAAAAAAAAUGGCAACUCAAAUCUGACCAAAAAGUUCGCUUUUCCCACAGGACCUUGUGAGUGUGAAUUGUGAGAAGUUAAUGUCACUGACAAGAAGAAAAUUGAAUAAUCUGAAAUGUGGUGCUGGCAAAUAUCAUUCUGUGACUUCUGGAUAGAAAAGCAGAAGAAUGCUGCUGUUAGCAACACUACUAGAAAAAGGCAGACUGUUUCCAGAAGUGAGCAGGUACAGACAUAUAAUUCGAUUAUAUCAAACACAGCAAUUGAAAUAACUAUGAAAAGCUUAUCAUACCAAGAUGCGAGAAGACAACUAGUAGAGAAGUGAAAGCAAUCCAUUUCAUAAAGGUUAGUAUUGAAAAUCUUCGUGCAGCUCACAUAGCAAUAUACUGGAGAAAGUGCAAAAAGAAAGUCUGAGUGAUACAAAAGGAAAAAUAAUCCCUUAUGAAAAAUAUAUUUGAAAUGCAGGACUGUAUUUCCAGGUACUGUAAAUAAACAUAUAUUAUCACAAUAUUGUAUCAGCAGACUCAUCUCAGGUUGGCAUGGGAGCAAGUAUCAUUCCAUAAAGAGAAGUGCACAGGAAUAAGGCACCAUCUUCAUCCUCCAGAAGUAAGCUAACAGUUCACUGAGGUAUUACAAGCCAACUCAGUUGGACUGCUGGACAGCAUGGUAAGAAGUGUUUCGCCCAAGACGUGAAUUUACAAUACUCUUCCAAAGUUAUUUUGAAACUGUUAUUAUGGGUCUGUGUUUAUAUGCUCUCAGUGGCUCCAUUUAAUUUUCUCAAAAACUGAGUAAAUAGAUUAUUAUUUUUAAACUGCUGGCUGCAAACUCCCUUUGACAUCUCAAAGGCAAGUUACAGUCUCACUCAUGCUAUGCCACCCAUGAAGAUUCUAAAUUUCAACUUCAGUAAAUUAUCUCAUGUCCAGAUCAGCUGUCCUGGCUCUGUAGCAAAGGCAGACACCAAAAAAUUAAUACUAAAAAUGCCUUGCUGGAACAUCAAUAGAUCAGAUUCUGCCUACAUACCAAGAUUUUUAAGAUACUUGCUGUAUCAGCAGUCAGUCUUUUAUCCUGACCCAGUGCUGUCUUCAGCCAGAGGGAUGCUGAUCAACUUACAAAUU